rnacentral:lncRNA from 1 species
CUGGAAGCAAGGGCCGGGUGUAAAAAUUCGAACACCUGUUUAAGUAAACUCUGUGAUGGUUUGGGGCCCAAAGGAAAGGAAGGGGAAGAGGGAAGGGAAAUUAUAGCAGGACUCCUGCUAUGGCUUAUGAAAAGUCAAACAUUCUUCUCUUCCCGUUGGCAGUGACUGGGGAGCUGAGUAACUCCGUCAUGAACAUCAGUGGUUCAGUCAUUGGUGUUGCGAAGAGGGUCUCCAUCCAGCUCAGCAGAGGCAGUGCAGUGACAGUGGUGGGCUUCUACAUCACAGUGAUGGUGUAUAGCAGCAGGACCCCCAGAUCUCAGGCUAGCAGAAGGUUCGUUAGCAGCUCUGGUUUGUACGGAUAGAGGCCAGCAGCAUGGGGGGGCCUGAGCUGAUUUGGGUUCAUAGGUAAGGUCCCACUCAGGGACUCCUGGAAGGUCUUGGGGAGGAACUUCGUCAGAGACUGUAAUUCUUUUUUUUUUUUUUUUUUUGAGACGGAGUCUUGAUCUGUCACCCAGGCUGGAGUGCAGUGGCGCGAUCUCGGCUCACUGCAAGCUCCGCCUCCCGGGUUCACGCCAUUCUCCUGCCUCAGCCCCCCGACUAGCUGGAACUACAGGCGCCCGCCACCACGUCCGGCUAAUUUUUUGUAUUUUUAGUAGAGACGGGGUUUCACCGUGGUCUCGAUCUCCUGACAUCGUGAUCCGCCCCCUCGGCCUCCCAAAGUGCUGGGAUUACAAGCGUGAGCCACCGCACCCGGCCAGAGACUGUAAUUCUUGCCUGACUGGAUGGGGUGCUAAGCCAAUGAGAUUCAGAUGAUAAUGUGAACACAAGCCUAAUUGUACCUAUUGGCUGGUGAAGGGCAGCAACCUUUGGGUUAGCUAUUACUACUGAACUAUUUCACAAACCCAUUUUGAAAGUCAAAAACCGAGCACUGAGUCUUUCUCUGUAAUCCAGCUACACCAACCCUAAUCUUCUCUGAGGUGAUGCACAGCUGUCACUGGGGAGAAAUGGAAUGCCAGGAAAUGCACAAAGGAAAAGCAUCCUGACAAAUGUUUUCAGCCUUAUGCGCCACACCACUAAAGAACAUUGCCACCUGCUGUAGGAUAUGAAGCUUCUGAAGCACAUGAGAAGUAAGAGGAAACAAUGGUCAUGCCCCCAAAGGUCUUGCUCCACAGAACUGGAGGGACACGUUCUGAAGAAUCCCAGAUUGCAUUCCAGAUGCACCCCAUGGAAACAUGGGACUUUGGUCCUUUUCCAACACCAGGUCACAAGGAGAAAGCUCAUUUUGCAGCUACUCACAGUUACUAGCAGGGCCAUCAUCCUUAACAUUUUUCUGUUGACUCAGAUCUCAGUGAUUUGUAGAAGGAUAAAUUAUCUAAGUAUGAAUUUCCUCUUAAUUCUGAAUAGAAUCUUAUAAUAGCCUCUAUCCUGUUACGACGUUCCCAGUAGUCUUAUGAAUUCAGUAGGGAAUAAACCAGCUGUUUCCAUUUCAUGGGGAGGGCGGGAGGAACAAUCUUGGACUUUUUCUUUUUUUCAACCAAUGUUUAUUGAACCCUUAUUGUGAACCAGGAGCUGUAUUAGGCUCUGAGAAUACACAGUUAGCCUGAACCUACAUGAUGCUUAUACUAGGGAAGAAGACACAUAAACAGAUACUUUUAUUAUAAAAUGGUAGAAAUAAUUACUAGGUGUCAAAGGUUCAAAGUUGAAGGGUAUCACUCAGCCUUCCUGGAGGAGCUGAGACUUGAAUUAAGACUUGAAGGAUGGGCCAGAUGCCAAGUGGGGAGAAGAGCUCUGUUGAUCUGUUCAUUGUGGUAUCCCUACCACCCCACCACAUGGUCUAGUACAUGGAAGACAUUUAAUACAGUGAAUUUGCGAAAGAAAUCUCAGCAGAGGAAAUGUUAUAAGCACAAACAAGGCACGGGAAACUAGAAAUGAUUUGGAUUUACGAGAAGAUUAAUCCUUAUAGGAUCAUAGAUUUCUCUGAAAAACUAAUAGAAGCUAUGGUCCGUCUUCCUACCAAAAUUAACAUACACUCAACAUUUAACAGGUAAUUUUAGGGGGAUACAGAUAUGCCUGAAACUUGUACACACUGAGAAAUCUCUGUUAUAGGGAAUUGGGAGCAUUGAGGUUUUUAAAAACAUCUUUAUUUUAUUUAUUAUAAAGUAGGGGAAUGACAUAACUUAGAGUUACUUUGGAUGCAUAGUGAAGGAUGGGCUUAAGGAAGAUAAGACUAGAUGUGGCAGUUCACUUAAGAGGUUGCUGAAAUAAUUCUGGGUGAGUUAGCCAGAACUAGGAGUGAAGACACGGGCAUGGAGAAGAGUAGUGGGGUGAAGAAUACUUUAAGCGGUAAAACUGGCCUUGCUGGUGUUUGGUUGGAUUUGAGAGCAAGGAAUGGGAAGGAGCUAAGGUUGACUUUCAGGUUUUUUGAAGGACAGGGCAGAUGGUGGUGCUAGUAAUUGAGAUAGGAAAUGCAGGAAAAGAGGUUUGGGUCAGGAAUGGGCUGAUGGAGAGUCUGGGGACGGGAGAAAUGAGGAGUUUGGGUUUGGCCAUGUUGAGAUCACUUGAGGCGACCAGGUAAUGACAGAUACGAGCGAAGUGGAAGGAUAAUGGGGAGAUGCUGUAAACUUUAAGGAGCAAAGGAUUAUGGGAGAGUGGAGUGGGGGUCCAGCAUAUGUUUUCACUUAAUUGGGCAGUGAGGAGGACUGGUGGCCACUGAGUCUGAGGAAUGUGGGGAGUAAGAUCAUAAGGCAGCUCCUCAAACAAGGGUUGGCGGAGGGCCAGUGUCUUCAGGAGCUAUGUUAAUUUCCCAGGGCUGCCACAACCAAGCACCACAAACUGGGUGACUUAAAACAACUGGAAUUUAUUGUCUCACAGUUCUUGGGGCUAGAAGUCAGAAAUCAGAGUGAAGCAGGAGAAGAAGGUCUGAAGGCAGGGAACCUGAGGCCAUUUCAUGCAGACUUCCUAGAACUAAAUUCAUGCAGACUUCCUAGAACUUUCCAUGCCUAAGUAACAAAAGGACCAGAGGCUAUUCCCUUUGCAAACCCCCACCUUUUCUGUGUGGCAGAUGGGAAAUCUAAAGUACCUCAAUUUGCAUACGAGUGUAACUUUGUUUGCUUUGGAGUGUAACUUUGUAACUUCACUCCAGCCUCUGAUUGGUUGCUGUCCACAACCAAUCAAAAUGAUUGCAGGCCGAGUCUUCGUUUGCAUAGAAGUGCGGCUUUGUAACUUCACUUCAGUCUCUGAUUGUGGGCCACCACUUCAUUUACAUGAGGUGAGCACCAAGUGGCCAAUGGGAAACCUCUAGGGGGUAUUUGGAUCAGAGAAGAUUCUGUAUCCGGGCCCAUGAGCCUGCUGGUGCCGCUCCCACGCUGUGGAGUAUACUUUAACUUUCAAUAAAUCCUUGCUUUCAUUCUUUCAUUGCUUCAUUCUUUUCUUGCUUUGCUGUGAGUUUUGUCCGAUUCUUUGUUCAAAAUGCCAAGAACCUGGACAACUUGCAGUCAAGACCCUCUACCGAUAACAAAGGUGCUGGCAGGAUCAUGCUUCCUGUGAAAUUUAGCGAAAUCCUUCUGCCUCUUCCUAGCUUCUGGUGGUUUGCUGGCAAUCUUUAGUGUUCUUUGGCUUGUGGAAGCAUCACCUUACUCUCGGCCUGUGUUAUUGCAUGGCGUUCUCCCUGGGUCUGUUUUCUCAUGUGGCCCUCUUAUAAGGACCCCAGUCUUAUUGGAUUACAGACCCAUGCUGCUCCAGUAUCACCUCAUCUUAAUUAAUUACAUCAGCAACGGCCCUAUUUCCAAAUAAGGUCACAUUCUAAGGUACUGGAGUCAGGACUUCAACAUACGUUUUAGCAGGGGAUAAGUUCUACCCAUAGCAGGGAAGUUACUAUUUCUAGUUCAAGGAGAAAACAGAGGGAACAUUCUUC